CAGUAAUUCACAUGGCGAAAAGAACAACUCUUCCCAUAGAUUCAAUGGCAUAUUUAAGGGAGCCAAUGGAAAAGCGAUUGGACGCUGACCUGAUUAAGGCAUACCUAGCCCUGGGAUCGGCAUUACAUCCAGCCAUCGCUCUCACCACCUUGUCCAGAGCUCUUAAAAUAUGGGUUGACAAUCUAGAAGAGGAUAUUGCUAGUGGAGUCCGUAGAGAACACCUGAUGGAGGGCCUUAAAGAUUUAAAACUGGCCACAGAAUUCUGUUCUGAAGCUUCCCUGGAUAUUACGAAAAUGGUAGCUAAAAGUAUGGCGCUGUCAGUUGCUUCUAGGAGAGCAUUAUGGC